rnacentral:rRNA from 1 species
AUUGAACGCUGGCGGCAUGCUUUACACAUGCCAGUCGAACGGCAGCGCGGGCUUCGGCCUGGCGGCGAGUGGCGAACGGGUGAGUAAUGCAUCGGAACGUGCCCAGUAGUGGGGGAUAGCCCGGCGAAAGCCGGAUUAAUACCGCAUACGACCUGAGGGCGAAAGCGGGGGACCGAAAGGCCUCGCGCUAUUGGAGCGGCCGAUGUCGGAUUAGCUAGUUGGUGGGGUAAAGGCUUACCAAGGCGACGAUCCGUAGCUGGUCUGAGAGGACGACCAGCCACACUGGGACUGAGACACGGCCCAGACUCCUACGGGAGGCAGCAGUGGGGAAUUUUGGACAAUGGGGGCAACCCUGAUCCAGCCAUGCCGCGUGCGGGAAGAAGGCCUUCGGGUUGUAAACCGCUUUUGUUCGGGAAGAAAUCCUCUGGGCUAAUACCCCGGGGGGAUGACGGUACCGGAAGAAUAAGCACCGGCUAACUACGUG